AGAGUUUGAUCAUGGCUCAGAUUGAACGCUGGCGGCAGGCCUAACACAUGCAAGUCGAGCGGUAGCACAGAGAGCUUGCUCUCGGGUGACGAGCGGCGGACGGGUGAGUAAUGUCUGGGAAACUGCCUGAUGGAGGGGGAUAACUACUGGAAACGGUAGCUAAUACCGCAUAACGUCGCAAGACCAAAGUGGGGGACCUUCGGGCCUCAUGCCAUCAGAUGUGCCCAGAUGGGAUUAGCUUGUAGGUGGGGUAACGGCUCACCUAGGCGACGAUCCCUAGCUGGUCUGAGAGGAUGACCAGCCACACUGGAACUGAGACACGGUCCAGACUCCUACGGGAGGCAGCAGUGGGGAAUAUUGCACAAUGGGCGCAAGCCUGAUGCAGCCAUGCCGCGUGUGUGAAGAAGGCCUUCGGGUUGUAAAGCACUUUCAGCGGGGAGGAAGGCGAUAAGGUUAAUAACCUUGUCGAUUGACGUUACCCGCAGAAGAAGCACCGGCUAACUCCGUGCCAGCAGCCGCGGUAAUACGGAGGGUGCAAGCGUUAAUCGGAAUUACUGGGCGUAAAGCGCACGCAGGCGGUCUGUCAAGUCGGAUGUGAAAUCCCCGGGCUUAACCUGGGAACUGCAUUCGAAACUGGCAGGCUAGAGUCUUGUAGAGGGGGGUAGAAUUCCAGGUGUAGCGGUGAAAUGCGUAGAGAUCUGGAGGAAUACCGGUGGCGAAGGCGGCCCCCUGGACAAAGACUGACGCUCAGGUGCGAAAGCGUGGGGAGCAAACAGGAUUAGAUACCCUGGUAGUCCACGCCGUAAACGAUGUCGAUUUGGAGGUUGUGCCCUUGAGGCGUGGCUUCCGGAGCUAACGCGUUAAAUCGACCGCCUGGGGAGUACGGCCGCAAGGUUAAAACUCAAAUGAAUUGACGGGGGCCCGCACAAGCGGUGGAGCAUGUGGUUUAAUUCGAUGCAACGCGAAGAACCUUACCUGGUCUUGACAUCCACAGAACUUUGCAGAGAUGGAUUGGUGCCUUCGGGAACUGUGAGACAGGUGCUGCAUGGCUGUCGUCAGCUCGUGUUGUGAAAUGUUGGGUUAAGUCCCGCAACGAGCGCAACCCUUAUCCUUUGUUGCCAGCGGUCCGGCCGGGAACUCAAAGGAGACUGCCAGUGAUAAACUGGAGGAAGGUGGGGAUGACGUCAAGUCAUCAUGGCCCUUACGACCAGGGCUACACACGUGCUACAAUGGCAUAUACAAAGAGAAGCGACCUCGCGAGAGCAAGCGGACCUCAUAAAGUAUGUCGUAGUCCGGAUUGGAGUCUGCAACUCGACUCCAUGAAGUCGGAAUCGCUAGUAAUCGUAGAUCAGAAUGCUACGGUGAAUACGUUCCCGGGCCUUGUACACACCGCCCGUCACACCAUGGGAGUGGGUUGCAAAAGAAGUAGGUAGCUUAACCUUCGGGAGGGCGCUUACCACUUUGUGAUUCAUGACUGGGGUGAAGUCGUAACAAGGUAACCGUAGGGGAACCUGCGGUUGGAUCACCU
rnacentral:rRNA from 1 species